rnacentral:rRNA from 1 species
GACGAACCACACAAACGUUAUUCGGAAUUACUGGGCUUAAAGGGUGCGUAGGCGGCGCGGAAAGUAGGGUGUGAAAUCCCUCGGCUCAACCGAGGAAUUGCGCCCUAAACUACCGUGCUCGAGGGAGAUAGAGGUGAGCGGAACUUAGGGUGGAGCGGUGAAAUGACGUUGAUAUCCUAAGGAACACCGGUGGCGAAAGCGGCUCACUGGAUCUCUUCUGACGCUGAGGCACGAAAGCUAGGGUAGCGAACGGG